AGCACUAUGUGAGGAAACAAGAAAACCUAGGGCCACAACAACUGGAUUCUCUUUUCUAAUUUUUGCUGCAGCUUCUGCUUUGUAAUCAUAUGGACAGUUGUGCUUGUCAGAGUUAACGGUGAAGUCCACAAAACAAAUUUCCACAUCGGCAGUCAAACCCUGUAAGACCAACUUUCUUUCUGCACAUGAAACAUCUGUUUUUCUUUGGUUUGGGCAAUUCAGGAGCUUUUUCUUCACUCUGAGAAGUACUGGGCUGAAAAACUGAUGGACUGGGCUGAGUGACAACUGGCUCUCACACCUCUGUUUUCGGGGUAGUUAUUUUGUCCUCUGUUGAAAUGCUCAUUUCUGUCAUUUGCUGAGUUACAGGCAAGGCAGCCGCAGGCACAUUUCUUGAUUUUUCAGAUGUGCUGCCAGCAGCACCUUCACAGUUGUUUAAGCUAGUGUCUGCUCUCUGUACAGAUGCAGAAUCUGAGGUAGGACUGUUGGAACCACUAGCUGUCCCCAUUGGGCUCAUUCUGCCACUAUUCUGCUGCCUCUGAAGAUGUUCUUUGUAGCAGACUGAACACAUUCCAUUUGUCCUAGGAUUUCCAUAAAAGCCACAUCCUGUGCUACACAGCAUGGGCCCCGGGGUCUGGUUAGUCUCCUGAGCCAUAUUUUUCUGCCAGGUCUGAGUUCCAA
rnacentral:lncRNA from 1 species